rnacentral:rRNA from 1 species
CCUACGGGGUGCAGCAGUGAGGAAUCUUGGUCAAUGGGCGAGAGCCUGAACCAGCCACGUCGCGUGAGGGAGUACUGCUCUAUGGGUUGUAAACCUCUUUUGUCGGGGAGCAAAAGCCGGACGUGUCCGUCUGUGAGAGUACCCGAAGAAAAACCAUCGGCAAACUCGGUGCCAGCAGCAGCGGUGAUACGUAGGAUGCGAGCGUUAUCCGGAUGGAUUGGGUUUAAAGGGUGCGCAGGCGGGUUUUUAGGUCGGCGGCGAAAGCGUGGGGCUGAACCCGAGCCAGCCGUUGGAACUGGGGAGACUUGAGGGAAGGAGGGGUGAGCGGGAUGCUGGGUGGAGCAGGGGAAUGAGGAGAUAUUGGGAGGAACAGUAGUGGCGAAGGUGGGUGGUUGGUCUGUAACGGACGCUGAGGCUCGAAGGCCAGGGGAGCGAAAGGGAUUAGAGACCCUUGUAGGC